rnacentral:rRNA from 1 species
GACGAACGCUGGCGGCAUGCUUUACACAUGCAAGUCGGACGAGUGGCGAACGGGUGAGUAACGCAUCGGAACGUACCGAGUAAUGGGGGAUAACUGUCCGAAAGGACAGCUAAUACCGCAUAUUAUUCGAGCGGCCGGUGUCUGAUUAGCUGGUUGGCGGGGUAAAGGCCCACCAAGGCGAAGAUCAGUAGCGGGUCUGAGAGGAUGAUCCGCCACACUGGGACUGAGACACGGCCCAGACUCCUACGGGAGGCAGCAGUGGGGAAUUUUGGACAAUGGGCGCAAGCCUGAUCCAGCCAUGCCGCGUGUCUGAAGAAGGCCUUCGGGUUGUAAAGGACUUUUGUCAGGGAAGCGGUACCUGAAGAAUAAGCACCGGCUAACUACGUGCCAGCAGCCGCGGUAAUAC